rnacentral:rRNA from 1 species
AACGAACGCUGGCGGCAGGCCUAACACAUGCAAGUCGAGCGAAGCCUUCGGGCUUAGCGGCGGACGGGUGAGUAACGCGUGGGAACGUGCCCUUUGGUACGGCAUAGCCCCGGGAAACUGGGAGUAAUACCGUAUGUGGUCGAGAGACGAAAGAUUUAUCGCCAAAGGAUCGGCCCGCGUUGGAUUAGGUAGUUGGUGGGGUAAUGGCCUACCAAGCCGACGAUCCAUAGCUGGUUUGAGAGGAUGAUCAGCCACAAUGGGACUGAGACACGGCCCAGAAUCCUACGGGAGGCAGCAGUGGGGAAUCUUAGACAAUGGGGGAAACCCUGAUCUAGCCAUGCCGCGUGAUCGAUGAAGGCCUUAGGGUUGUAAAGAUCUUUCAGUGGGGAAGAUAAUGACUGUACCCACAGAAGAAGCCCCGGCUAACUCCGUGCCAGCCGCCGCGGUAA